GAUGAACGCUGGCGGCGUGCCUAACACAUGCAAGUCGAACGGAGAUUACGGACGGAAGUUUUCGGAUGGAAGCCUGUACUUCUUAGUGGCGGACGGGUGAGUAGCGCGUGGGCAACCUGCCCUAUACAGGGGGAUAGCAGCUGGAAACGGCUGGUAAGACCGCAUAAGUCGGUUAAAUCGCAUGAUUUGAUCGGGAAAUGAGCAAUCAGGUAUAGGAUGGGCCCGCGUCCGAUUAGCCAGUUGGCAGGGUAAAAGCCUACCAAAGCGACGAUCGGUAGCCGGACUGAGAGGUCGGACGGCCACAUUGGGACUGAGACACGGCCCAAACUCCUACGGGAGGCAGCAGUGGGGGAUAUUGCACAAUGGAGGAAACUCUGAUGCAGCGACGCCGCGUGAGUGAAGAAGUAUUUCGGUAUGUAAAGCUCUAUCAGCAGGGAAGAUGAUGACGGUACCUGACUAAGAAGCCCCGGCUAACUACGUG
rnacentral:rRNA from 1 species